rnacentral:rRNA from 1 species
GGUGGUACCUGCCCAGUGAUAAAUAUAUAAAAAUUAUAAUCUAAUUUUAAUUUUAUUAAACGGAUGCGGUAACUCUGACUGUAGUAAAGUAGCAUAAUAAGUUGUCAUUUAAUUGAUGGAGAGUAUGAAUGGUAAAACGAGCUUCUCACUGUCUUAAGUAAAAGUUUUUUGAAAUUAAAUUAAUAGUGAAGAUUCUAUUUUAUAUCGUUAGACGAAAAGACCCUAUAGAGCUUUACUAUAUUUCUUUAUAAAAUUUAUAAAAUUUUUAUUAUUUAAUGAAGAAUUGGUAGUUUAGUUGGGGCGACUGUCUUUUAUAAUAAACAAAGAUAAGCAAAAUUAAUAAUUUAAUUUAUUGUAUAAUAAAUAAAUUUAACAAUUAUGAAAAUAGGCUAUAUUGACCCGUUAUUUUUAUAAAAUUAAUUAACGAUUAAUUGAUAAAAGCUACCUUAGGGAUAACAGGAUAUUUUGUUUAGAGUUCAUAUCAUUACAAGU